GACGAACGCUGGCGGCGUGCCUAAUACAUGCAAGUCGAGCGAAGCGGCGGACGGGUGAGUAACACGUAUGGAACCUACCGAUAAGCGGGGGACAACAUCCGGAAACGGGUGCUAAUACCGCAUACUUAUCGACGGCCUUGCGGUGCAUUAGCUCGUUGGUGGGGUAACGGCCCACCAAGGAAAUGAUGCAUAGACGACCUGAAAGGGUAAUCGGCCACAUUGGGACUGAGACACGGCCCAAACUCCUACGGGAGGCAGCAGGGGGGAAUCUUCCGCAAUGGGCGCAAGCCUGACGGAGCAACGCCGCGUGUGUGAAGAAGGUUUUCGGAUCGUAAAGCUCUGUUGGUAGAGAGGCGUUAUCUUACCAUAAAGCCACGGCUAACUACGUGCCAGCAGCCGCGGUAAUAC
rnacentral:rRNA from 1 species